UACGUAGGGUGCAAGCGUUGUCCGGAAUUAUUGGGCGUAAAGAGCUCGUAGGCGGUCUGUCGCGUCUGCUGUGAAAACUCAGGGCUUAACCCUGAGCUUGCAGUGGGUACGGGCAGACUAGAGUGCGGUAGGGGAGACUGGAAUUCCUGGUGUAGCGGUGAAAUGCGCAGAUAUCAGGAGGAACACCGGUGGGCGAAGGCGGGUCUCUGGGCCGAUAACUGAC
rnacentral:rRNA from 1 species